rnacentral:rRNA from 1 species
GAGUUACUAGUAAUCGCAGAUCAGAAUGCUGCGGUGAAUGCGUUCCCGGGUCUUGUACACACCGCCCGUCACACCACGGGUGUUGGAGACGCCCGUAGCCGAUUAUCUAACCUUUUGGAAGAAGUCGGCGAAGGUGGAAUCAAUAACUGGGGUGAAGUCGUAACAAGGUAGCCGUAUCGGAAGGUGCGGCUGGAUCACCUCCUUUCUAAGGA